UUUUUUUGAUGAAUAGCUUGGUUUAUUUGGACAUAUCCAACCAAGAGAAAGACAUGUCAAAUGAAUAUAUGAAAGCAUGAGUCUAGAAACCCACUCAGGGUUACUCACAAGCAAGUCUUUUUCAAAGCAGGUGAAGAAUUACUUUGUAUAUUUUGGGAGAGACUAAAUGUCUUUACUUGAAAAUUCCCUCUCAUGUUCAGACAUAGGAGUUGGGAAAGAAAUACCAAUGUGGGAAGAAGAAUGGUACAGGUUCAUGGGAAUGGGGAAGGGGUGAUGGACAGAAUAAAUGUGAGCAUGGAGGGAAGCAUUCAAAUAUCUGUUAGUUUGGGAUAUAAAAUGUUUGAGACUAAGUAAUCUGUGAAAGCUCUUGGGUGGGAGUGUUCUCAGCUGACUCAUUCAGAACUGAAGAAAUAGUUGGUACAGUCUGUGGAAUAGGUGCAGUUGGGUCUUGAGAUGUGUUUCCAACUUGCUUUUCAUGGUCCAUGUUUUACAAAUAGGUAAGAGUGGAUGGGAUCUUCUCAGAUUGAUCUUGAGUGGUUUUCUCAUCUGCGUCUUCCUUUUUCAAAGAGGCAACAAUGGAAGAGAUCCCCUGGGGUAGAUCUUGGGGGGGGGGGGUAUUCUGCCUUGGGUUAUGGAUAAAAGGUCUAAGAGUCCCUGGGAUUGUUUGGAGUGGCUCCCUGGGGGUGUUCAGGACUAUCUGUCUCUUUUCUAUGUGGGAAAUGGAAAUCCUAUUCCUAGCCAUCUCCUGAAGUAGCAUCUGGCUUGGCCAAGAAGUUGUCCAUGCUGGAGUUGGUUUCCAACUAUAUGCCCCUAAAGGACCAUAACCUUUGGGUUCAUCCUUAUGGCCUUCAGACUAGGCAUACAUGAAGGGCAGAACUUUUUUCAAAACCUUCAUGAAAUGGGCAAGUGAUGAGGUCCCCCUGCCUUUUCUGGUUGGCCUCCUAGAUACUCUAGUACAUAUCUUCCAAGGACAGCAUCAUGUUUCAACACUGUACCCAGCUACACUGCACACCCUGAUUUUGUAAACAAUUGGCUAUCCCCUUACAAAUGGUUUGCACUUUGUUCCCAGUUUUUCUCAAACACUGGAUGUCAGAGGAGGCCCACACAUCCAGAAGGGCAUAAAUGGACUCUGAGCUCCAGGAGUCCUCUUGGGGUGCAGAAGGGUUUAGACCUCUCCUUUCUUCUAAUGCCUGGAGGUUGGGGGGUUGGUUCUGCAGUUGCUGGUCUGUUGUCUUAAUCCUCAGAAACUGAACAAUUCAUUUUCUCAAGCUUCUUGGUCAUUUCUGGUGAUCUUAGAGAAGUUGCUUCGUUGCACUUGGAUUUCUGAAACUGCUUCCUCAAAGCAGAAUUUUCUCCCAAAUUAUAUUAUUUCAUAGCCAACAGAUGUCCAUCUUUUACAUAAGAAUAGAAUGAAAGUCUUUGUCAAAUAUAGGUAAACUCUAUCCACAAAAUCCCCAUCACCCACAAGUCUAGUAAUCCUAUCAAAAGGAAAAUUAGAUUACUCUGGAAUGAACACUUCUUGAUGGAAAAGAUGAUUUGUUAUCUGUACUUCUUUUUCCAGAUGUUCAUUAAUCAUUCUUUUGAUAUUUUAUUCUGGAAUUAAAAGAAAGUAGAGUGAAGUAAAAAUCACCAAUCAGGAAUUUACAGAC
ensembl:lncRNA